rnacentral:lncRNA from 1 species
AGGUAUUCCAACUAGCGGCCCAUCCACCCUUCCCAGCAUCUGAUAAGGGUAAAUUUUUUUUUUUUCCUUCAAAUUUAUCUCUCUGUCUCUAUCUUUCAUUUUGGUGAAUGGUUGAGGAUGUUAUUUAUUUAUUUUAGUAAUGCAUGAGGAAUAUAUAUAUUAUGAACUGCAUGUUAAAAACUAUCAUGCUACAUUGGAAGUGGUGUUAUUUGCCUAAUCUUGGCAUAGUGCUAAGAAUAGUUAAUUUUGGAAUCACAAAAUGAGGACGUAAAGACAAACACCAGGCCAUUGUACAUUGCAUUGGAGAUAUGGUUGAAGCUGGUCCCAGCUUUUGGCUGCUUUCGUUGCACUUUUUUGUUUGAUAUUCAAAGCCUAUAAGAUUGAUGAUCGUUAUACAAUCCAAAAAGUAAAAAAAGGAAAAAGGAAAGAACAAAUCUCUACCCCCAAACUGGCAUUUUGNUUUCUAUUCAAGUUAAUUAUGUUGUAGGUUUGUUCUUUUUUUGUUUACAAUGAUNNNNNNNUAAUUGUUUUCAUAUUAGCAUAUUGCUUUAUGUUUCCAUUCAUUUUAUUGAUAGUUUCGUGAUUGUUUUUCAGGUUGGGGUAAAGAAUUAGGCCAAGUACAAUCCUAAUAUACUAUUUUGGAGUCUAUUUAUUUGGCUACUUGAAUUUGUAAUAUUUUCAUUGUAUCUGGAGAUUGUAUUUUUUUUNNNNNNNAAAUAUACAUAAUGACUUAAGAUUUUAGAUUUAUAAUUAUUG